rnacentral:rRNA from 1 species
GUCCUCUUUUGGGGACGCGUCUCGAAACGCUCGGCGGCGUGGCACCGGCUUUAAGCGUAGCAGAAUCUUUCGCUUUGAAAGUCGGGGCUCCGUCUGCCAGAAGACCUACUCGCAAGGUUGACCUCGGAUCAGGCAGGGAUACCCGCUGAACUUAAGCAUAUCAAUAAGCGGAGGAAAAGAAACCAACAGGGAUUGCCUCAGUAACGGCGAGUGAAGCGGCAACAGCUCAAAUUUGAAAUCUGGCUCUUUUAGGGCCCGAGUUGUAAUUUGUAGAGGAUGCUUCGGCGUCAGCUCCGGUCUAAGUUCCUUGGAACAGGACGUCAUAGAGGGUGAGAAUCCCGUAUGUGAUCGGUUGCCUUUGCCAUGUGAAGCUCCUUCGACGAGUCGAGUUGUUUGGGAAUGCAGCUCUAAAUGGGAGGUAAAUUUCUUCUAAAGCUAAAUACCGGCCAGAGACCGAUAGCGCACAAGUAGAGUGAUCGAAAGAUGAAAAGCACUUUGGAAAGAGAGUCAAAAAGUACGUGAAAUUGUUGAAAGGGAAGCGCUUGCAACCAGACCUGCCUGCAGUUGCUCAUCCGGGCUUUUGCCCGGUGCACUCUUCUGCUGUCAGGCCAGCAUCAGUUCGGGCGGUCGGAUAAAGGCUUCGGGAAUGUAGCUCCUCUCGAGGAGUGUUAUAGCCCGUUGCGAAAUGCGGCCAGCCUGGACUGAGGUCCGCGCUUCGGCUAGGAUGCUGGCGUAAUGGUUGUAAGCGGCCCGUCUUGAAACACGGACC